AUCCUUCUGGUUCUGAAGUGUGAUGAAUGGGUGUUCACACGGCUGUGUGACAUGUGCGGCCUUCUGUUACGACUGAUGCACAUUACCCUUCUGAUA